GCUUGGAGGCCAUGUUAACGGUUCUCUGAGCCCGGGGGUUGUGGGGCUCGCCCCACCUUAUGCUCUGCGCGCUGGGGCCGGUACAUCAUGCGCAGGGGGACCUGGGGAGGAGCGUGGAGAAGGUCGAGUCAGCCUAGACCCACACACAGUUUGCUAUAAAAGGUCCUUUUGAAGAGUUCAUUCUCAUCAAGUUGAGCAAGGAUCUGUUGCCACAGAGGAGGUGGCCCUGCUUUGCUGCCAUCUCCAUUUUCUCCAGCAGCACCACCUGCAACAGCUGACAAUGACUGUGGGGCUUUUCCAGUGGAUACUAGAAUGUCAUUUUCUACAGCCAGGCGGGAAUGCAGAGUAAUUGUUGGGCAGCAAGAGGCCAAACAGGAGCCGGGGAAGUUGUGACAUGGAGGUCAUCCAGAGGAGCACCCCCGAACCUGAGCAUCCACCAUAAGAGCUAGACCCCUUUUCGUCUACCCUAGCAGGAGCAGACGUUGCCGCCGCCUAUCCUCAAAUGCCCUUUCAACCACCACUUUGGUACCGGGUUUGUUCUCCAGGCCUGCUACAGAUGGGUGCACCCCACUCUAACCCAUCACCCCCAGACGUUAGAACCACUGACACCUGCCUCCCAUGCUUCCCGUGGCAGGCCUCUACAGAAGCAAAACACAGUCACCUUAGACUCUGGCAUACUGAGGCCCCUCACCUUCCUGCCAGUCUGUGUACUAAAAUAUUAAAUCAUAUUCAUGUGCCUGAAGUAAGAUUGGAGUGUUCAUUGUUU